UUGGCUGAGGAACAUACUCCAUUUCAGUAUUUUCCUCUUGAAGCUCUGCCGGAUCUUUCUCAGCAUCUCCAAAUGUGAUUCUUUCACAUUCCUUACGAAACAAAUGAUCUCCCUCUUUUUUAAGAUUCUCCAAAGGGGGAGAGAAAAGGUGGCGAGAAGGCUGAUGAUCUUGGAACCAGCUACUUUCUAUUGUCCACACUCGGUGGUCAAUCUUCGGGGGCACUAUGGGUAAGCAUUCAGCAAAUGAACCAUCCAACAAACUGGAAGAGUGUUUUGGCUGAGAAAAAAAUUCCAUCUCAGUAUUUUCUUCUGCAAGUUCUACAGGAUCUUUCUGGAACUCUUGAAAUGUGAUUCUUUCACAUUCCUUAUGAAACAUAUGAUCACGCUGUUUGGCAAGAUUCUUCAAAGGGGAAGAGUGAAGGUGAGUAGAAGACUGGUGACUUUGGAACCUGCUACUUUCUAAUGGCAGCUCAGCAUCCUCUAACAUAUCCACAUCAAAAGAAUCUAGCAACAAAAAGAAAACUUAAUAUGUCAGCACAGAGGAAUAAAAAAAAGUUUUUCUGGAGAAAUCAAUGGAAAAAUUAACUAAUGAAAAAGUUAUUCCUCUAGCAUCCACAAGAUAUUAUGCCGCAUUAAAUGAAAUAAUUCUAAUAUAAAGGGGAUGAAGAACUUGACACAGAUAGAUUUUUGACGUACAAAAGUAUGAAAGGUACCUCCAGCAGAUAUGAUGUUGUUAUGUUUAUUCAACAUUUCAUCUUUUCCAAAUUUAUUGGCUGUGCAACUCAUGGAUACUCCUGGAAAUUUCAGUCAUUAAGAAUCACUUCUUGACCCAUUAUAUGAAUGCAACAACCAUAGCAAGCAAUUUUCAUGAGAGUGAGUAUACCAUGCGCUAUUUUUUUCAUCCAUGCAGAACGGAUAGCCCGCUCAAUGAAGGCAAGUACAGGUUCCCAGUCCUGGAACAAGAGCGAACAGACAGAGCUCAAUAGCCCCAAAAAAGCUAAAUAAAUAAACCACUUGAGGAUGUUAAUAAAUAUACAUAAUUAGGUCACAAUUCAUGAUCAGACAUGAAAUUCAUUACCUUGAAUACAACAUGUGUCUUUAAUGGGUCAAAGGUCAAAUCAUAGAGAGAAUGUGGGCAACGUAAAUUUAACAGGUAAGCUGGACAUGCUUGAGACUUACUUCUCUUUCCUUUAAGGAAUCCAUUAUUGGCCUUCCAUGAAUCCGAACAAUCAAAACUAGCAGCCAAAUGAUUCAACAACUUGUGGAUGGACCCUUUGCAUACAUACCUUGAAUUAAUAUCUGACAUUAUGAAGGUCUACAAAAAACCCGCUUCCGCUUCCGUUUGUACUUGAAGCACCCAGUCGAUGAUUCACAUCUUUCCUCGCCGCCAGAAAACAGAGCCCCACCAAGUGGCGGGCUUCCUUGUGAAAAGCAGCUUUGAUGAAGAGGCUUUUUGAUGUCCUUGCUAACCUCAAAUUCAUUGCUAAAUUCAUCCUUAUCUAAAGGUGAUGCGGUACCUGACGCUCCAUUGCUCACACCAGGUUCAAUUUGAAGGUAUUCAUACCCCCGUUGUGAAUUCAAAAGGUCACCCUCCACUGGAAUGCUGGAUCUUCCAUCAGCCAAAAAGCAAGUCUCCAAGAAAUAACUUCCUUUUAAUGAAAAUCUGUUACCAGAUGUCCAUCCAUGGAGGUCAAUCUUCCGGAGUACUGGGGAUAAGCAUUCAGCAAACGGACAAUCCAACAAUUUAGAUGAGUAUUUGGGCUGAGAAACAAGUUCCCUCUUAGAAUUUUCCUCUUCAAGUUCUGGAGUAUGUUUCUCAAACUCUCCAAAUAUGAUUCUUUCACAUUCCUCACGAAACAAAUGAUCACCCUCUUUGGAAAGAUUCUCCAAAGGAGAAGAGUAAAGGUGAGGAGAAGACUGAUGAUAUUGGAACCUGCUACUUUCUAUUGUCCAAGCAUGGCGGUCAAUCUUCCAGGGCACUAUGGGCAAGCAUUUGGCAAAUGAACCAUCCGACAACCCAAAAGAAUAUUUUGGCUGAGGAACAUACUCCAUUUCAGUAUUUUCCUCUUGAAGCUCUGCCGGAUCUUUCUCAGCAUCUCCAAAUGUGAUUCUUUCACAUUCCUUACGAAACAAAUGAUCUCCCUCUUUUUUAAGAUUCUCCAAAGGGGGAGAGAAAAGGUGGCGAGAAGGCUGAUGAUCUUGGAACCAGCUACUUUCUAUUGUCCACACUCGGUGGUCAAUCUUCGGGGGCACUAUGGGUAAGCAUUCAGCAAAUGAACCAUCCAACAAACUGGAAGAGUGUUUUGGCUGAGAAAAAAAUUCCAU
rnacentral:lncRNA from 1 species